GAUGAACGCUAGCGGCAGGCCUAAUACAUGCAAGUCGAGGGGUAGAGUUAGCUUGCUAACUUGAGACCGGCGCACGGGUGCGUAACGCGUAUGCAACCUACCUUUAUCUGGGGGAUAGCCCGAAGAAAUUCGGAUUAACACCGCAUAAAAUCACAGUAUCGCAUGAUACAAUGAUCAAAUAUUUAUAGGAUAAAGAUGGGCAUGCGUGUCAUUAGUUAGUUGGCGGGUAACGGCCCACCAAGACCACGAUGACUAGGGGAUCUGAGAGGAUGACCCCCACACUGGUACUGAGACACGGACCAGACUCCUACGGGAGGCAGCAGUAAGGAAUAUUGGUCAAAUGGAGGCAACUCUGAACCAGCCAUGCCGCGUGCAGGAAGACGGCCCUCUGGGUUGUAAACUGCUUUU
rnacentral:rRNA from 1 species